rnacentral:rRNA from 1 species
UACCAGCUCUCCGAGUGGUAGGGACGAUUAUUGGGCUUAAAGCGCCCGUAGCCGGUCAGGUAAAUGUCCCGUUAAAUCUAACGACUUAAUCGUUGGACUGCGGGAUAGACUGCCUGACUAGGGGACGGGAGAGGUCGACGGUAUUUCUGGGGUAGGAGUGAAAUCCUAUAAUCCCAGGAGGACCACCAGUGGCGAAGGCGGUCGACUAGAACGGGCCCGACGGUGAGGGACGAAAGCUGGGGGAGCGAACCGGAUUAGAUACCCGGGUAGUCCCAGCUGUAAACGAUGCGGGCUAGGUGUUGGAUCGGCUACGGGCCGAUUCGGUGCCGCAGGGAAACCAUUAAGCCCGCCGCCUGGGUAGUACGGCCGCAAGGCUGAAACUUAAAGGAAUUGGCGGGGGAGCACCACAAGGGGUGAAGCUUGCGGUUUAAUUGGAGUCAACGCCGGGAACCUUACCGGGAGCGACAGCAGAAUGAAGGCCAGAUUGAAGGUCUUGCUGGACGAGCUGAGAGGAGAUGCAUGGCCGUCGCCAGUUCGUGCCGUGAGGUGUCCCCUUAAGUGAGGCAACGGUCGAGACCCGCACCUCUUGUUGCCAGCGGAUCCCGUUGGGAUGCCGGGCACACUAGAGGGACCGCCGUCGAUAAGACGGAGGAAGGAGCGGGCCACGGCAGGUCAGUAUGCCCCGAAUCUCCCGGGCCACACGCGAGCUGCAAUGGUAGGGACAAUGGGUUCCGACUCCGAAAGGAGAAGGUAAUCUCGAAACCCUGCCUCAGUUGGGAUCGAGGGCUGUAACCCGUCCUCGUGAACAUGGAAUCCCUAGUAAUCGCGUGUCAUCAGCGCGCGGUGAAUACGUCCCUGCUCCU